ACGAAAGUCUGACGCAGCAACGCCCCGUGAGGGAUGACGGCCUUCGGGUUGUAAACCUCUUUCAGCAGGGACGAAGCGAAAGUGACGGUACCUGCAUAAGAAAGACCGGCCAACUACGUGCCAUCAGCCGCGGUAAUACGUAGGGUCCGAGCGUUGUCCGGAAUUAUUGGGCGUAAAGGGCUCGUAGGCGGUUCGUCACGUCGGGAGUGAAAACUCGGAGCUUAACUCUAAGCCUGCUUCCGAUACGGGCAGACUAGAGGUAGGCAGGGGAGAGCGGAACUCCUGGUGUAGCGGUGGAAUGCGCAGAUAUCACGAAGAACACCGGUGGCGAAAGCGGCUCUCUGGGCCUUACCUGACGCUGAGGAGCGAAAGCGUGGGUAGCGAACAGGAUUAGAUACCCUGGUAGUCCACGCCGUAAACGUUGGGCGCUAGGUGUGGGGGACAUUCCACGUCCUCCGUGCCGCAGCUAACGCAUUAAGC
rnacentral:rRNA from 1 species